rnacentral:tRNA from 1 species
GACCUCGUGGCCCAAUGGGAGCCCGUCUGACUCCAGAUCAGAAGGUUUCGUGUUCAAGUCACGCUGAGGUCC